rnacentral:rRNA from 1 species
AAUUUUCUAGGGUAAUAUUAAAUUUUUAAACUAAAUUUAUAUUGUUGUUGAAAAUAACAAUAUUUUCUUUAAGACUAAAAGACCCUAAAAUUUUUAUAAUUGAAAAAUUAUUUGGUUGGGGAAAUAAAAUAAAUUAAAUUUA